GAGCAGGGCGCACAGUCGCGCACGCCGGCCCACAUGGCCGGUUCCGGCGACACCCCGCAAAAGGCACCCGCGUCGCGUCGCCUCGGCUGCCCCCCCCGAUCGGCGGAGGCGGAGGUACACCUGUCGGUGUGCGCGCAGCACCGCGGCAGCGCCCCCCUUUGAAAAUUGCGCCGGGGCGACGUGGCCGGGCGGCGCACCGCUCCUCCGCACCAUUUUUUACUCCCCCAAAUCCCACCUGCUCCUUCUCCUCUCCCCCACCAUCCCAUUCUCUCUCUACAAGAGCACCCGCCUCCGGCCGCCCGUCCGCCCUCGUCGAAUCCAAAUCCGGGCUAGAUUCUCUCGCGCCGCCGCUCGCCGCCUGGCCCUUCUCGCCCGGGCGUCGCCCUUCGCUGGAUUUCACCGAUCUGGCAUGCCCAACUGCCCCGUGGUAGCGGGAGCCGCCCCCCUUGCUGCCCCCACAGCUCAUGAUAUGCAUGUCCGAUCCGUUGCCUCAGAUCGGGAUUACAGCCGACGUGCCGUUGCGUCCCCGUUUAGCUUCUUCCCCUUGUGACACUCCCUUGCUUCGUUUUGCGUUGUCUCGGGGUUUAGCCUGCUUGUCUAUCCCGUUUCUCUAGCUUAGGGUUUCGAGCUCAAGCUCCACGGCUCCAGGCCGGUGUGUCAGUUGCUGCAAGUGGAGGCGGCAAGCUAGAGGCAGCAACUGCAUACCUUGCAAGAAAAAAAAUCGGUUUCUUGCCAUACCGAUGAUUUUCUUGCAAGUUGUGCAGUUGUUGUCUCAAGCUUGCUGCCUCCCUUUGCCAGAACUAUUAAAGGUGAAAGCACAGUUAAGUAAUGCCAAAUCCAGAGAAGCCAAAAGGUUCUCACACACGGAUCUCUGGUCUGACGAUCUGUCUGGUGGUGAAAAGCUAAAUUGCUUCUGUGCUCCAAAGAGGUAUCAGAUUGUUGUCAACAUACAGCUCUCCUAGUUUCUUCGCUCAAUAGGGUGCUCAGAUGUAAUAGAGCUAAAUCAAUCCCCUAGAGCACGUGAAAUCCUGAUGAAGGAUGUGCUAGGGAGGGUCGAAGGGACACAGCAGAACAAGUCAGGGAUUGGUGAUGAUCUUGCUGGCACAAUCUUAAGUGCGAAAUUACCGAUGGUUUCAACCUUUAAGGAAUUUUGUUAAAGCCUUAAAGGUAAUCUCCAAAGGUUCAAUAUAAACUGAGGAUUCAUGCAUCAGUCAUCAUUUUGGUCUGAAGCAUAUAUUGGCUGCUAAUCCUUUAAUAUCUUUUCAGAGGGUGGGAACUUAGACCAGGUACCUGUGUUUCCUGCUGUGUUUUAUUUCUUCUAUUACACGUGACUUCGAUGGUUUCGUAUUUUUAAAUAUUUGUAUUCCAGAUUUGAAAUGAAUCCCGCAGUUUUGGUUUCUGCCAGUAAAAGAAGUCUUUGGUUGGAGGGCUGCUGUUGGCAUAUCAACUGCCUGUGUCUACCUUCAGAAGGUUUCCUUGUAUCACGUUUGCUUCUUCUCAGCACCAGAUUUUAAUCAACUGCACGUUUUUUUUCAAUGAAUAAAUCCUACUGUACUUCUUUCUCUUUUGGGAAUGAAAUUGAACUAUAUUAAGGUGUAUGUUCGUUUCUACCAAUUGGACUAUUUACAUAAGAACUUGAGCAUUUAGAUCUUUACAGAGGAAAUACUCCGACUUAUGAAUUUUAAUGCUAUCCGGUAUUUGCUUUUCUUCUCUGAAUAACUUAUUCAGGAUUAUUUGGAACAUCUAGUAUUCUGACAAGCUUCAGGCCUGGUUAAGCGCAGGACUCGCCUCAGCCUCCCUGCUGUUAAUUGCCUCGUCUCAAACUUCAAUUGAAGCUCUUCACUUUUAGUUAGUGAUGAUGCUCGAGUGCUCGACUGCUUUAGCUGACCAACAAUUUUUGACUUGCUCUCCAAGUUUGUGUUGAAGAGCAGAAUUACGAACACAAAAGGGCCUUAGCAGCCUGUUAAAGGAAUCUUCCUUUGAUAGGAUGAUCAGCAAAAAGUUUAGCAUUCCUGGUUUCCUACCCCAUCUAGAUAGUAAACUGGUAAACUGGUAAACUAUAGUGUGAUUUGGCUAUAUACUGUAAAGUCCAACUCUACCUACUCAAUACCUAGAGUCCAACUGGGUAUGUUGUAUGGUGUGCUGCUCCAAAGUCCGCAUUUUCUGUCCUUCU